rnacentral:rRNA from 1 species
ACAACGGAGAGUUUGAUCCUGGCUCAGAACGAACGCUGGCGGCGUGGAUUAGGCAUGCAAGUCGAACGCGAAAGGGUCCUUCGGGACCCGAGUAGAGUGGCGAACGGGUGAGUAACGCGUGGGAAACCUGCCUUCGAGAGGGGGACAACAGCUCUAACGGGCUGCUAAUACCGCAUGAAGCCGUGGUUCGCAUGUGCCGCGGUGAAAGGGGGCCUCUGCUCGCAAGCUCCCGCUCGAAGAUGGUCCCGCGUCCUAUUAGCUUGUUGGUGGGGUAACGGCCUACCAAGGCGACGAUGGGUAGCCGGCCUGAGAGGGUGGUCGGCCACACUGGGAUUGAGAUACGGCCCAGACUCCUACGGGAGGCAGCAGUCGAGAGGCUUCGGCAAUGGGGGAAACCCUGACCGAGCGACGCCGCGUGGGUGAUGAAGGUCCUCGGACCGUAAAACCCUGUCAGGUGGGAUGAAACGCCAUUCGGCGAACAACCGAGUGGUUUGACAGUACCACCAGAGGAAGCUCCGGCUAACUCCGUGCCAGCAGCCGCGGUAACACGGGGGGAGCAAGCGUUGUUCGGAUUCAUUGGGCGUAAAGAGCUCGUAGGCGGCUCCGCCAGUCAGGGGUGAAAGCCCACGGCUCAACCGUGGAUACGCCCCUGAAACUACGGAGCUUGAGUCCGGAAGAGGAAAGCGGAAUUCCUGGUGUAGCGGUGAAAUGCGUAGAUAUCAGGAGGAACACCGGUGGCGAAGGCGGCUUUCUGGUCCGGUUCUGACGCUGAGGAGCGAAAGCCAGGGGAGCAAACAGGAUUAGAUACCCUGGUAGUCCUGGCCGUAAACGAUGGGCACUAGGUGUGGGAGGAUCGACCCCUUCCGUGCCGCAGUUAACGCAUUAAGUGCCCCGCCUGGGGAGUACGACCGCAAGGUUGAAACUCAAAGGAAUUGACGGGGGCCCGCACAAGCGGUGGAGC